UGGGGAAUAUUGCACAAUGGGCGCAAGCCUGAUGCAGCCAUGCCGCGUGUAUGAAGAAGGCCUUCGGGUUGUAAAGUACCUUCAGCGGGGAGGAAGGGAGUAAAGUUAAUACCUUUGCUCAUCGACGUUACCCGCAGAAGAAGCACCGGUUAACUCCGUGCCAGCAGCCGCGGUAAUACGGAGGGUGCAAGCGUUAAUCGGAAUUACUGGGCGUAAAGCGCACGCAGGCGGUUUGUUAAGUCAGAUGUGAAAUCCCCGGGCUCAACCUGGGAACUGCAUCGGAUACUGGCAAGCUUGAGUCUCGGAGAGGGGGGUAGAAUUCCAGGUGUAGCGGUGAAAUGCGUAGAGAUCUGGAGGAAUACCGGUGGCGAAGGCGGCCCCCUGGACGAAGACUGACGCUCAGGUGCGAAAGCGUGGGGAGCAAACAGG
rnacentral:rRNA from 1 species